UAGAGCCUUAUGUCUGAGGAUCUAAAAGGACUUUUGAAUAUGAACCAAUCUUCAUAAUACUCCUGAGAGUGCAAUUACUCGAAGAAUAAGGUGCAACUCAAAGUGAGAAAUGCUAAGAUACUAUGGUGAUGGACAGCAGUAUAACACCCAAAGACAAAGGGCUCUGUUGUGCCAUCAAGACGCUGUCCUGAGCUGGAGGCAGGAUGGAGAAGCAACACACUGGGAAGGCACAAGGAGUCCAGCUGCUGCUCCUCCUUUUAAGGGGAUGCGGCAUGUGCUGUCCUUCUACAUCCAGCCAACUCUGCUGGCCGGUGCAGC